rnacentral:rRNA from 1 species
AAUCCAUAGGUUAAUGAGGCGAACCGGGGGAACUGAAACAUCUAAGUACCCCGAGGAAAAGAAAUCAACCGAGAUUCCCCCAGUAGCGGCGAGCGAACGGGGAGGAGCCCAGAGCCUGAAUCAGCAUGUGUGUUAGUGGAAGCGUCUGGAAAGGCGCGCGAUACAGGGUGACAGCCCCGUACACAAAAGCGCAUGUGCUGUGAGCUCGAUGAGUAGGGCGGGACACGUGGUAUCCUGUCUGAAUAUGGGGGGACCAUCCUCCAAGGCUAAAUACUCCUGACUGACCGAUAGUGAACCAGUACCGUGAGGGAAAGGCGAAAAGAACCCCGGCGAGGGGAGUGAAAAAGAACCUGAAACCGUGUACGUACAAGCAGUGGGAGCACAGGUUUACCUGUGUGACUGCGUACCUUUUGUAUAAUGGGUCAGCGACUUAUAUUCUGUAGCAAGGUUAACCGCAUAGGGGAGCCGGAGGGAAACCGAGUCUUAAUUGGGCGUUAAGUUGCAGGGUAUAGACCCGAAACCCGGUGAUCUAGCCAUGGGCAGGUUGAAGGUUGGGUAACACUAACUGGAGGACCGAACCGACUAAUGUUGAAAAAUUAGCGGAUGACCUGUGGCUGGGGGUGAAAGGCCAAUCAAACCGGGAGAUAGCUGGUUCUCCCCGAAAGCUAUUUAGGUAGCGCCUCGUGAAUUCAUCUCCGGGGGUAGAGCACUGUUUCGGCUAGGGGGCCAUCCCGGCUUACCAACCCGAUGCAAACUGCGAAUACCGGAGAAUGUUAUCACGGGAGACACACGGCGGGUGCUAACGUCCGUCGUGAAGAGGGAAACAACCCAGACCGCCAGCUAAGGUCCCAAAGUCAUGGUUAAGUGGGAAACGAUGUGGGAAGGCCCAGACAGCCAGGAUGUUGGCUUAGAAGCAGCCAUCAUUUAAAGAAAGCGUAAUAGCUCACUGGUCGAGUCGGCCUGCGCGGAAGAUGUAACGGGGCUAAACCAUGCACCGAAGCUGCGGCAGCGAACGUAUCACUUAAAGCGAUUCAGCGGGUUACGAUUGACGGAGCGAAGCGACGUCAAAGCGUAUACAAAGUCGAGUCGGUUUAAGGAUACGUUCGUUGGGUAGGGGAGCGUUCUGUAAGCCUGUGAAGGUGGCCUGUGAGGGUUGCUGGAGGUAUCAGAAGUGCGAAUGCUGACAUAAGUAACGAUAAAGCGGGUGAAAAGCCCGCUCGCCGGAAGACCAAGGGUUCCUGUCCAACGUUAAUCGGGGCAGGGUGAGUCGACCCCUAAGGCGAGGCCGAAAGGCGUAGUCGAUGGGAAACGGGUUAAUAUUCCCGUACUUGGUGUUACUGCGAAGGGGGGACGGAGAAGGCUAUGUUGGCCGGGCGACGGUUGUCCCGGUUUAAGCGUGUAGGUGUGUGUUCCAGGUAAAUCCGGUUCACUUUAACACUGAGGCGUGAUGACGAGG